GGAAGGAUCAUUCGCACAGCCAGCCGCAAGGCAAGGCAAACAUUCCAAAUGUCGUGAACAGAGCUCAGGGUCUGUACAUUUAUGUACAGGGUGCCUUGUGGACCACAACUUGUAUCCCCGCACGCAGAGGUAGCAUGCCAUAUGAUGGGGUAACUCGGACCGUGAUAUUUUGUCAUAUGGUGUAUCUUGGGGGAAUAAUCAGCGCUGCAACUACGGUAUACAUCUAAACUAAAAUUGAGGCCCUUAACGAUGGAUGCCUCGGCUCGUGAAGCGAUGAAGGACGCAGCUAAGUGCGAUAAGCACUGUGAAUUGCAGAAUUCCGCGAAUCAGUAGGUUUCCUAACGCAUUUUGCGCGAAGUGGACUUGUCCGCUUUGCAGGCCUGCGUCAGCGUCGUAUUACACAUACCACUGUUGGCAUUUAUGUUAGCAGUGAAUGCCGGUAAAGGCUAAUGUUUGGACUAGGUGAGUAUGGGCCAACCCCAUUUCUUAUCCUAUACCUUAUUGCAGUCGGCUGUCGGUAAUUUGUGUGUUAUCCUCGGGUGACACAUUCAUGACAUCGGUGAUAAAUCUAAUCAAUCUGUCACCACUCUAUGUCGGACGCUGGACCUCAAGCUCUGCCACUGGCUUGUAUGUGCAUUUUUGUGUACUUUCAUUCCAUGGGCGUUCACCAGUAGUUACAUAAUGCCGCAAGGUAUUUGUUAUAAUCCUGCUGUCGUGGCCGUACCGGUUGAUUGGCACUUAUUUGUUACGCUUGCUAAGACAGCUGCAAGAGGCACGGCGGACUUCUAAGUAUCCGACCUGACGUAGACCAGAUAACCCACUUAAUUUAAGCAUAUCAGUAAGUGGAGGAAAAGAAACUAACUAGGAUUCCCUUAGUAAUGGCGAAUGAACAGGGAAAAGCCCACUGCCCAAUUGUUUUCCGCAAGGGGAGCAACAUGUGGCUUUGGUGGUCUACCAGUGACCGCGUUGGUAUAAGUCCUCUGGAAAGGGGCAUUAUGAAGGGUGAAAAUCCCGUUCAUGACCAAUAGCUAGGUUACGUACGGUGGCUGCUGUAGUGAGUCGCGUUCCUUGGGACUGGAGCGUUAAUGGGUGGUAGAUUCCAUCCAAGGCUAAAUAUAAACACGAGACCGAUAGAAAACAAGUACCGCGAGGGAAAGGUUAAAAGAACUUUGAAAAGAGGGUUAAAAGUGCCUGAAAUCGUUAAGGGGGAAGCAGAUACCGCGGUUGUUUUGCUCUUGCGUGGGUUAUUUACUUGCUUGCUUUCUUGGGGUUCACCGGACAGGUUCAAACCACCGUUGUUCUUUGAGUUGGUCAGUGUGUGGCGUAUCCACGUGAGACACGGCGACAUCAACUUUGUGCCACAAACAAUGAUAGCCGAUUGUGAGUUAGUCUACGGGCCUUCUUGCAUAGGCAGUCGAUUGUGUGCUGGGGUUGAGGAUAUCGAUGCGAGGGCUACACCAUGGUUUGGCCGUUGGGAAAGUCUGCCGAUUCGGUUUAUGAUUGAUAGGUAGGCCUCUUGGCGGUGCGGCUAUGGCACUCUUGCAACGGAUGUCGCUGCCAACAGUGGUAUUUGUCCCGUCUUGAAACACGGACCAAGGAGUCAAUCGUAUGUGCGAGUGUGUGAAUUCAAAAAUUCAUGCGCGUAAUGAAAGUAACAUUGCUACCAUGCUGCGCAAGCGGCAAUCAGUAGUGGCCGACCUUGAUCCUCGGUGACGGGUUUGAGCAUGAGCACAGCCGAUUGGACCCGAAAGAUGGUGAACUAUGCCUGGGUAGGGUGAAGCCAGGGGAAACUCUGGUGGAGGCUAGUAGCGAUACUGACGUGCAAAUCGUUCGUCAAACUUGGGCAUAGGGGCGAAAGACUAAUCGAACCAUCUAGUAGCUGGUUCCCUC
rnacentral:misc_RNA from 1 species